rnacentral:rRNA from 2 species
AAGCAUAUCAAUAAGCGGAGGAAAAGAAACCAACAGGGAUUGCCUUAGUAGCGGCGAGUGAAGCGGCAAGAGCUCAAAUUUGAAAUCUGGUACCUUUGGUGCCCGAGUUGUAAUUUGAAGAAAACAAUCUUGGAUUUGGCCUUUGUCUAUGUUCCUUGGAACAGGACGUCACAGAGGGUGAGAAUCCCGUGCGAUGAGGUGUCCUUUUCCGUGUAAGAUGUUUUCGAAGAGUCGAGUUGUUUGGGAAUGCAGCUCUAAGUGGGUGGUAAAUUCCAUCUAAAGCUAAAUAUUGGCGAGAGACCGAUAGCGAACAAGUACUGUGAAGGAAAGAUGAAAAGAACUUUGAAAAGAGAGUGAAAAAGUACGUGAAAUUGUUGAAAGGGAAGGGUAUUCGAUCAGACUUGGUAUUUAGCUAUCAUUUCCCUUUUUGGGUUGUGCUCUAGCUUUUUACUGGGCCAGCAUCAGUUUUGGUGGCAAGAUAAUGACAGUUGAAUGUGGCUCUUUUAGAGUGUUAUAGCUUCUGUUGAUAUUGCCUACCGGGACUGAGGUCUGCGGCUUUGCCUAGGAUGCUGGCGUAAUGAUCUAAUACCGCCCGUCUUGAAACAUGGACCAAGGAGUCUAACGUCUAUGCGAGUGUUUGGGUGUAAAACCCGUACGCGUAAUGAAAGUGAACGUAGGUCAGGGCCCUUUGGGUGCAUGAUCGACCGAUCCUGAAGUCUUCCGAUGGAUUUGAGUAAGAGCAUAGCUGUUGGGACCCGAAAGAUGGUGAACUAUGCCUGAAUAGGGUGAAGCCAGAGGAAACUCUGGUGGAGGCUCGUAGCGGUUCUGACGUGCAAAUCGAUCGUCAAAUUUGGGUAUAGGGG